UAUAUAUAUAUAUAUAUAUUUUAACUAGACAGUUUUGUUGCUUAAUUUUCAUAUUUCAAUGCAAUAUGGGUGUGCCUUAAGUAAAUGCUCAAUGAGUAGGUUCAUCAAGUCCCUCCCCACCACACACAAUUUGCCUAAUUGAUAGUCACGUGGUAUUUAAUGAAUUUAUUAGGAAUGACAGAGACUCUGUUAUAUUAUGGGGUUGAUUUGUUGUGUGGAUUUUUUCCUGUGGGAACAUUUUGCUGGCUGUGUUUUGGUCCACUUGUUCCCUUCUAUCCUGAUGGGCGUGGUCUCUUCCAGUAUGAUUGCGCCCCCAUCUACAGGACAUGAACUCUCACAGAGUCGGUUGAUGAGUGUGCACAUGAUCAGAGAUAUAAUAUGGUCUUCACAGUCAACAGAUCUCACCACAAUUAAACACUGAUGUAAGAUUCUUGGAACAAAGUGUUAGACAGUGCACUUAUCAUAACCACCAUCAUCAAAGUAUGACCUGAGGAAAAAUCCUUUGGAAGAAUGGUGUCCAUCUGUCCAGUACAGUACCAGAAAGGUGUAGAAUCUAAAGCAAAAGUGAAUUGAAGCUAUUCUGGUGGCUGGCUUAAACACUUUGUUGGUUUUUCCUUUAAAUUCCUUUUAUUUUAAUUCACCUAUCUGUAUCUGAAUGAACGGAUGAAUGUUAUUUUUUCAUUUGUAUCGUUAUUUGUAGUCAAUCAGUUAAAUAACUAAGUGUCUCAAUUCUGCAUUUAAAAAGGUAUUUCACUGCAUACCACUAAGAUGGUGUUUAAAAAGACAAAAGAUGUGUUUUCUUUAACAUAUUCCCAUUUCCUUUCCUAUAUCCUAAACAUUUAUUUCAUCAUUCAUUUCCUUGUUAUUGUUCUGGUUAUUUUUGUUAGUUUUUUUUAACAUCACAGAAAUGGCCAUGUUUUCAUGGAACAUCAUAGCCAAAUGGCAAAAUUGUCAACGAUUUCCUGGUAAUUAUAAAACACUACUAGACACCAGGUAGAUGGCAAAUAUCUUUUCAAAAGAAACCAGUAACUUCAUUUCAACCUUUCAUUUCAUUUUAGAGGUUUUGAUAAAACUGCUGAUAAAAUCUCAAUUAGAAAAGAACCACUGUAUUUUAAAUACUGUCUUCAUAUGAGUAUAUUCAUGCAUGAUCUUGUCUAAAAUAUAAAACUUUUCAAAUGCAUUAUUUAUUUCUAUAAAAUGACCUGUUUCAUGAAUGUGCUUUAUUAAAUCAAGAACUAUUUUAAGAC
ensembl:lncRNA